ACCUGACUGGCUCAUUCGAUAGAGCAUGUGACUUUUGAUCUCGGGGUUGUGAGUUCAAGCCCCACAUUGGGUG
rnacentral:tRNA from 1 species